rnacentral:siRNA from 1 species
CAACCUGAGUAGAAGCCUCCCC